UUAGUCUCUAAGGUGCCACAAGUACUCCUUUUCUUUUUGCGAAUACAGACUAACACGGCUGCUACUCUGAAACCUGUCAACAAGUGAAAGUAUCUGUUACUUUACUCAGCUGCCUCAUAGAAUGAUAGCAGCUGUAAAUCAUGCAUAGAAUCUGAUGGGAACUAGUGUCAAGCACCUGGAUGCCUAAAAGUGACUUGGAAAUGGAGACGGAAAUAUAUAUUAACUUGAGAUGCUGAAAAUGAAUGUGAUGUAAAUGUCAUCUGUAUCUUGCAUGUAGGAGGCAAUCUGUCUUCCCACUAUGACAAACAGUGUAGUGCAUUGUUUUUUAAGCAUGACCUAAUAAGAUUUAGUCAUUAUAUUGUUGUUCAGUGUUUCUGAUCUCCUGAAUGAUUGUGACUUCAGAAAAUUUCUCAAUCAAGCAAUUGUACACUGGUAUUAACAGUUUUGUGAUUAUAUGAAUUGUUCAUUUCUGUGACUUCUAAAGAUGUAUUUGUAUCCAAGGUAACUUUAUAAUCUCCAAAAGCAAUUACAGAGUUGGGGAGCCAGCAUGGCCAAGUGGAUAAGACACUGAACUGUGAAUAAGAAACUCUGCCUCCUGUUCCUGAUGCUGCCACUGACCUGCAGGGCAAGUCACUUCACAUCACUGUUUCCCCAUCCAUUCUUUUUCUGUCUUGGGUUUUUAACUUGUAAAUUCUUUGGGGAAGAUAUUGUCUCUCACUAUGAUUUUUAUAGAGUGCCUAGCACAGUGGUGCCCCAAUCUUAGUUGGGACGUCUAGACAUUACUGUAAUAUAAAUAAUAAUAUUAUAAAUAUCUCAUCUCUAAGACAAGUCUAUUAAAGCCUUUUAAUUCAAUUAUUUUGGCCAAGAUUUUCCAAAGUGACUAAUGAUAUUAGCUGUCUCAAUUUGUGAAUUCCCAGCUUGAGACACAUUACAGGGUCUUGAUUUUCAGAAAGUGCUGCUGAGCAUUCACCUAAUGAAAACCAGCCUUCUUAAAAGGUGUCUCAAGUUGGGCACCCAAAAUCACUAGCCACUUUUGAAAAUCCUUGGCCUUCUAUUUUAUGUAGGGUGACCAGAUGUUCCAAUUUUAUAGGGACUGUCCCGAUAUUUGGGGCUUUGUCUUGUAUAGGUGCCAGUUACUCUGCCCCACCCCAGUCCUGAUUUUUCACCCUUGCUAUCUGGUCACCAUAAUUUUAUGGCUCAAAGAGGAGCAUGAUCUCAGAUUUGAAGACAGUCUUACCAUUUAGUAUGUAUUUUAAAAAUUGCAGUCUAUGUUUAAAAGAAGAUUGAAUAAAUAAACCUACUGUUAACUUUUAAUAUUGAUUCAUGGUUUGUAUUGCCGUUUGUAUUGCUUAAGGUGUUCUAGUCUCUGGAUGAUGCUCUUUCUGGAGUGGUCAGGGAGCUACAAGUAACUAAUCAACUGAAAAACUGAGGAGCUGAAAUAGAAUUUUUGCUAGCCCUGAGUGUGUAAAAGUGCCACAAUGUAGACUGUCAUGUUGCUCAUCCAGGUUAUAUUUCCUACCAUCAUCAUCUUUAAAAUCGCUUAGUAUGUUGAACCUCUUAAAUGAUUGGGCCAAACUCAUCUUGAGGAUAAGUUACUUCAACUCCCAUUAAAGUCUUUCGGAUAAAUUAAUUGAGGGUGUAAAUGUAAAUGUAACUUGCUCCAAUUUGGCAUUCAUGUGAAGAACCAAUGUGUUUUUCAUGGCAAGGGGGCAGAAAGAGUGCAGUGGGAAAGAUAACUAACAGGAGCUUAUAACAUCAAUCUCUCUUUCCCAUGCCACACGUUAUUCCUACUCUGACUUCUGUUUCUUUUGCCACCUCUGCAUACACCUUACACUCAUUUUCCAUAGCGAGUGAAUGCCAAAUUGGUGCAAGUUACACCAAUUCAACACUUAUAUAUAUUUUUGACCCACUGAUAUCUCAUAUGUAACUUGUUUUGCAUUUAAAGCCACCAGUGAAUUUGGACCACUGGCCAAAUCGAUCCAUCUCCAUUGACUUCAGUGGACUUAAGCCAGGGAUGAAUUUGGCCUAUGUUGUUUGAACAUGGUGUGGGGGGGGGAUGUGUGGAGGUUUGCUGGAAAACAGUGCUUUUCAAACCAAAGAAAUGCCCUUUCUAGAUAUUUUGGUCUAUGUUAGAGUUUUGAAACACUGUGCCCAGGAAAAAUGAACAGCCAAAGAAACCCUGUCUACAUAGAUCAGGGAAAUUGUUAGAACCUUGGAAGCAACAACCUUGUGAGCCUGCCUGCUGUUAGCACAGUUUGCACAAACAUAGUUAGAUGUUGUCUGCUCACAGAGAUGAUCUGGUCUCACUGUAAAUCUGACAAAGAGAAGACAACUGAACCCGAGUCAAAGGUUUGAUUCUCAGAGUGAAAUCCUGGACCCAUUAGCCAGGGUUUCAACUUCAGUAUCUAUAACCAAGCUACAAAUUUUCACCAUCAAGUAAUUCAAAAUGGACUUGGAGAAAAUCUUGGCAUGGGGCUUCUCUUUAGGGUUCUUGUCCCUUCAAGUGAAAGAGCUGGGUCUCUCAGCAAGAGAAAGCUGGCAUGUUGACUUUGACAGUGACAAAGCAGAAGGACUAAGUAGCAAGAACAGAUGAAAACUGGUGUUUUCAACAUAUUUUGGUGUUCCCCUUCUUUGUGGUUGAUCCAGAGGCCAGUACUUCCUCUCACCAAACAUAAACAUGCUUCUAAAACACCUGCAUCAAAUAUGUCUCUCCUCUGCUGCAAGUCAAAAUAUCAAUUCUUUUUAUAUACUUAAAAUCUAAAUGAGCAACUUCAUAAAUUCCUGAAAGAUACAUUUGGCUUGUGGUAAUUAUAAACAGUCUAUCACCUAAUACAGCAUACAAGGAUCUAGUGCUUACAUUCAGAAAUUCACAUUCAUCAUCCUCCCUUAACAACUUUUUCUCAGUCAGAGGUUUUUUUAUAUAAAUAUAUCAUUCUACAUCAUAUCUAUAUGAGAGAGAGAAAAAUAGUCCUUGAGUAAUGAUAUGUUGAAUGACUGUAGAUAAUUAACUACAGAGAUGUAAAUAAGGUGUGAUUAGCUGUAAUAUGUUGGAAUUCUUCAGAUUUGAUCAGAUUUUAUAGCAUAGCUGAUGGCUAAAUGUCCCCCAGUUAACCUUGUGAAAAAAAGAAAUAUGGAAGAAAUUGAUCUUCAUAAAAAUAUGCCUGAAAACAAAAUGGCCACUUAUUUGCCAAAGCAACAAGGGAACAACUUCUCUGAGUGAUGGUCCUGUCAGGGUUCCCUCCCCACUCUGAACUGUGGGGUAGAGAUGUGGGGACCCACAUGAAAGACCCCCUAAGCUUAUUUCUACCAGCUUAGGUUAAAAACUUCCCCAAGGCACAAAUCCUUCCUUGUCCUUGGAUGAAUACUGCUGCCACCACCAAGUGAGUUAGACAGAUUCAGGAAAAGGACCACUUGGAGUUCCUGUUUCCCCAAAAUAUCCCCCCAAGCCCCUUCACCCCCUUUCCUGAGGAGGCUUGAAAAUAAUCUACCAACCAAAUAGGUAAACAAGGUGAACACAGACUCGCCCCUUGGGUUUUUAGGACACUAAAAACCAAUCAGAUUCUUUUAAAAAAAAAAAAAAACCACACCACCAGAACUUUAUUAUAAAGAAAAAAAAGUGAAAGAAGCACUUCUGUAAAAUCAGGAUGGAAAGUAAUUUUAUAGGGUAAUAAGAUUCAAAACACAGAGGAUUCCCCUCUAGGCAAAACUUCAAAGUUACAAAAACAGGGAUAAACUUCCCUCUUAGCUCAGGGAAAAUUCACAAGCUAAACCAAAAGAUACUCUAACGCAUUUCCUUGCUAUUACUUACUAUUUCCAUAAUUUUAGUUGCAUCAUUCAGUAGGAGCUGGAUUAUUUGCUUGGUCUCUCUCUUUGUCUCCCGAGAGAACAACAACCCAAAACAAAAACCUUCCCCCACAGAUUUGAAAGUAUCUUCUCCCAUUAUUGAUCCUUUUGGUCAGGUGCCAACCAGGUUAUCUGAGCUUCUUAACCCUUUACAGGUAAAGGAGAGAUUUUAUGCUGCCCUUAGCAUAUGUUGAUUAUAGGUCCCUGUUGUGUUCUACUGAGGGUUAUGUGCAUCCACCCUCAGUGGAAUAUAGAUAGGGACUACACAUCUUUAAGAACCUCCAGUUACAGGCAAGUAACCACCUCUUCUCUCAAUGUGCGCACAAGAGCUAUCCAGAUUGAAAUCCUUCACUACCAGCAGGAGGCAUGGGUCUUCAAUGUACCCACUGAGAUUAUUUUUGGUGGAAGAGGCAUAUCACCAAAGUGCCUAGCCCUUUUGGAAAUAAGGCCCUUUUUGCCUUAGGUUCAGUGUAUAUGAUUUACCCUAAUCAGGUACUUUUUUCUCAGAGUUAUACAUCCUAAAAGACAAAACUCCUAAUAAAGCCUUUCUGACCAACAGUAUAAUCCACCUCACUGCCUCCACAAUAAUUGGAUCCCCACUAAUCUUUGGUCUUUCUUCCCUCUUCUAGCAGGAAGACAGGAGACAUAACGAAGGGGCAGAGUGGAAAGGAAAAAGAAAAACAUGACACAGAGAAGAAAGAGCCAGGAGAAAGAACAUCUGGAGAGGGUCAAGAAGGACAUCAGUCACGAGAAUCAUUAUCUUCAGUUUUUGCCCCAGACACCAGGGACAGUGGACCAGGAGAUGGCCUAGCUGAAACCAGGUAUCUCAGUUUUGGAGUGGCAGUUUCCUGUAGUGCUGGAAGUUGCAGAUUAGAUCCUUGUUGAGGAAUGGUGAGAUUUGAAACCAAAAAUAAUGACAAGAAGCAGAUUCUUCUCAGCUGAGAAUGACUGGGCCAGCCCUGGGCAGUAUCUUUUUUGCAGACACACCUCCACUACAGCCUGAACUGAAAUUGUUCAUUCUUGAAGAACGUUAUGAAGCUCUUGAACAUCAGCAUAUAUAUGCUGCAUGGAAAAAUGGGGUGCAAGAAGGACAGAGAUCUAGGUCUAUCUCCAUCUACCAGUUUGAUGCAUUGUUCCCUUCCUCCAACCCUAGCACAGAUAAGAUGGUCGUUUUCAAUUCUUCCUUUUUAACCAAAUUACAAAGAAGAGUAUGCACACACCUGUGAUUUAAGAGCACUUUAUUGUUCUUUAAGGCUACUUUUUAAGUACAAAAAAAGAUGGCCUGCCAAACCUUUUUUUCUUUUCCCCAGGUGAAACAAGGCCACAAAAGAAUGAUAUAUUUACAAACAUGGAAUCUUUCAGACUGAACUGUAGCAGAUAACAUGGCUCUGUGAAGAAACUUCACUAUGCGUUAUUAUAGUCCCUUGAAGCUACUAUGUCAUCUGCAUCAGAAAGACAAUGGACAUGAUUCUCUGUGGAGCCCCUCAAUGCUUCUUUUCUGCAGGAAAAGGAAUAGCUAGAAAGCAACAUGAAGUACUUCCUUCUUUCAGGUGAUCCAGCACUGCCCUGCCCUGUAGAAUUCAGGAUCUCACUUGAAUUCCUUGCUUUGAGCUACUGCCAGGUAACCAGACUGGGCAAAUCAGGACAUCUUCAAUCCAGUUUGCUUUGAGAAGAGUUGAAAAGGGAGGCAAAUAUACAAACCACUGUAAUUUCCCACUGAGGGCUCUACAAAGAAGAGAAAAUGCAUAGGAUUACAAUAGUAAGAAACCUACAGUGUCCAAUGGGAUUUUGCAAACUGCAGUGCAGAAAUCCAAGGUAGCUGUAUGAACCAUGUAUGACACAAUCCUUCAAUAGAAGGACAGAGUGGCAGCCUGCCCUCUUAAGUUUCUUGCUUUGGUCUCAAACUUAACAUUUUUGAAGGUAUUUGUAUGUGCAGAGUUGUAAGUGUGAAGACUUGAGCUUUGUCUUAUUAUGAUAAGCCAAUUCUUAUGUAAGAGAUUAAUCUUCAAAACUGUGCUGAACAGCUGCAACAGAACUAUGAUAUUUUCAUAUGCAAGUUCAUUUCCACAACAAUCUGAAUGCUGCACAUCUGAAUGAAUUGUGACUAAGAGUUAGAGCGGGAAACCGUUUUUUAUAUGUAUUUAUCAUGGUCAAGUCCCAAAAUAAAAAUAUUAAAUUUUAAACUGGAGUAAUCUACAGGCAGAGAGAAAACAACAGUCUCUCGCCAAUAUAUUUUAAGAUGGUAAGACUCGUGUACAACUUCAACAGUAAAACAAAAUCUAGAUGACCCUUCCAAAGAGACCAAGAUCAUCAAUUAACACCUUAAUUUUACCUCAAAAUAUACUGAUUUUUCCCUACAGUUUACUAAGAUGGAAAACAUUUUUACAGUCACCACACUGCAAUGAUUUUACCUACUGUAUAAUGCCAGCCCACAACCAUCCUCAUGCUGCAAAUACAGAGAAGAGCUAUGCACAUGAGAGUUCCUAGUAAAAGGCAGAGAAGUAAAAAACUGACCAGUGUCACUUUUUUCCAGCCUCUUUAGCUCUCGGUGCCCUGGACAUUUGCUCAUUUGAUUUGUUAGCUGGCAAAAAAAAAAUGCCAUGAAAAGAAAUUGUUAUCAGGCUUCCCAGCUCUCUGCAAGGACUCUUAAGGCAGAAAUGAUGCCUGCUGGGAAAAGGCUGAUGUCAGCUCUUAAGAGCUCCCUGCAAGGAUAAGGAGGCCUUUGUUUUCAGCUGAACUGUGAAAAUGAGAAAAUGCCUCCAGCCUGACAAACAAGAAACCCACACAACACAGGUCAGGCCUGAGACCUUUACUUAAAGGUACAACACCUCAUUAGUGUUAUACUUGCAUCACAACAGCCAGAUCCAUUUAAAAUUAAACAGAAGGAACCAUAACAAUAAACCAAUUUUCCCUUAAAAGAUAAUAUAAAGAAGGGUUUCAGAGUUACACUUCCCCUGCCACUCCAUGGAAAGGUAUGGCAUUUGCAGGCCCUACAUAAAUCAAUUUCCUAAUUACUCUCUAUAAAAUCACAGGUAUUUAGAAUAAGAAAACAGUCGCACUUUCCACUUUUAGGUUUAAAAUGAUGUGGCUCUUUAAAUUUUAUUAGAAAACAAAGCACCUUUCAAUCCAGCAAGGAUUUUAAUACCCAUAAUAUGUUAGAGAAUGCUUUUAGAAGUAACAUAAUAGAGAGAUUUUUAGAGAGUAGAAAGUGUGAAAAAUAAACAAAAAAGAUUCCAAGCUAGUCAUAUUUCAUAGUAAAAGCUGCAAGAUACUGGUGGAAGGGAAUCAGUUUUUCCCUUUCACCCCUACUAGUUAAUUUUAGCCAAAGAAGCAUAACGAAGUUUGGAGCUGUCUCCUACAGAGAAACUAAUAGGUAUGAUUUAUUCCAGAUCAUAAAGCAAGUGGCAGAUAAUGGUCCUAGUACAUCCCAAUACAUUGCAAAGCUGAAAAGAAGGACAGACAUUUCAUUCUGGAAUAUCAGGUACUGAAUUUUAAAUACUCAGCUGGAAGGUCCCAGCCAUGUUUCACUUCCCAUGCAGCAGAAAAUCAGUUCCUCCAAAAACUACAACCUUUCUUAAAUUAAAUCUUUGUCUAAUGUUGGGGGAAAGGGAUUCCAUUACACAUUUUAUACAACACAGCAGAAUUGCCAGGCUGUUUUGACUCAUUCCCUAUAUCCCAGAUGUUGAAAUAAAUAUACCUGUACAUACCAUUCAAUAAUCAAAAACCUACCUACGGGGUAUUAUUUAGUGCAAAUGGG